rnacentral:rRNA from 1 species
UACGUAGGGUGCAAGCGUUGUCCGGAAUUAUUGGGCGUAAAGAGCUCGUAGGCGGCCUGUCGCGUCGGCUGUGAAAACCCGGGGCUCAACCCCGGGCCUGCAGUCGAUACGGGCAGGCUAGAGUUCGGCAGGGGAGACUGGAAUUCCUGGUGUAGCGGUGAAAUGCGCAGAUAUCAGGAGGAACACCGGUGGCGAAGGCGGGUCUCUGGGCCGACACUGACGCUGAGGAGCGAAAGCGUGGGGAGCGAACAGG